UUACGGCCAUAUCACGUUAAAACACCGGUUCCCAUACGAUCACCGAAGUUAAGAAACGUCGAGUCUGGUCAAUAUCUAGAUGGGUGGCCGCUUGAGAAUACUAGGUGUUGUAA